UAUCUCUAGUAUGGGCAUUCGCUUAUCUGUCAAAAUCGGCCGGUUACAUGUUUAUCUUUCGAAAGUAAAUCGCUAUAAUUUAAUAAUUGUUUCUCUUCAUAUUGGCAUAUUGUAGCAGUGAUGAUAGUGAUAUGGAAUUAUUUCAAAUGAUAAUGGAUUGUGAUGCAGAUAGUGAUAGUGAUGCCGAUAUCAUAUGGUUAGGAAAAUAAAGAUCGUCUGAAUUACAUGGCGAAGAUCAAUAAUUACGAAUUAGACUAUAGAUUUCUGAGCAAAGGUGUUGUGAAUGAAUUGAUUAAUUUAAUGAGACCAUAUUUGAGUGUAACGUCAAAAAGGUAAGAUAAAUUUUAACCAUAAAAGUACUCGUUAUUACAACUUAUAUUUGUUUAUAGCAAUAGCAAAAUUAUACCAAAUUUUUGUUGUGUUACAAAAUCACACUCAACAGGAAUUCUAUAAUACUGCUGGAUUCCCAUGGUGCCCUAAAUGACAUUCAUAUACUAAUACUAUAACCUGGUAGGCUAUUUACCUUCAUUCUUAUUACACACUGAUACCUCUACAUUUUAUAUUUGUGUUACAGAUUCAAAUAUAGAAGAGGAAUUUAGAAAUAGAAAAAGAGUAUUUUGAAUGUGUAAUUUGUGUGCAAUGCAUCAUUGAUGUUUCAAAAUGUUGUUGCUUGAUGGCCUGGGUCUACUCAUGAUACAACUAUAAUUAACCAUUCCGAUUGAAAAGAUGCAUUGGUGUUUGUAAAAGAAGACUCCCUGUAUAUCAUUGAAAAGUAGAUUAAAACUAGAAAAUAUGCAAGCUGUUAUUAUAGCUGCCAUGCUGCAUAAUAUCGUCAGAAGUAUGAAUUUAGAAGAAUUAGAAUCAGAAAUUUCAGUCGCAGAUACAUUACAGAAAAAUAAUAUAAUUGUUCGUAACAAUUUUUCAAAACUUACAUCUGAAAUACAACUAUGUACUUAUAAAUAAUUGCUUCCAAAGAUAAUUUAUAAAAUAAACUCCAAAGAUAA